rnacentral:rRNA from 1 species
CCUACGGGCGGCAGCAGUGAGGAAUAUUGGUCAAUGGGCGGAAGCCUGAACCAGCCAAGUAGCGUGCGGGAUGAAGGCCCUACGGGUCUUAAACCGCUUUUGCACGGGGAUAACACCCUCCACGUGUGGAGGUCUGCAGGUACCGUACGAAUAAGGACCGGCUAAUUCCGUGCCAGCAGCCGCGGUAAUACGGAAGGAGCGAGCGUUAUCCGGAUUGAUUGGGCUUAAAGGGAGCGUAGGCGGUCGUUAAAGUCAGCUGUAAAAUCGCGCGGCUCAACCGCGCCCCGCAGUUGAAACUGGACGCAUUGAGUGCACAACAGGGAGGCGGAAUUCGGGGUGUAGCGGGGAAAUGCAUAGAGAUCACGAGGAACCCCGAUGGCGAAGGCAGCGUGCCGGGGUGCGACUGACGCUGAGGCUCGAAGGUGCGGGUAUCAAACAGGAUUAGAUACCCUUGUAGUC